ACAUAUGUAGUAUAGUGGUUGGAACAUUGGACUAUCAAUCUGGAGAUCAGGGGUCAAUUCCCCACUCAAGCA